rnacentral:rRNA from 1 species
UACAGAGGUGGCAAGCGUUGUCCGGAUUUAUUGGGCGUAAAGAGCUCGUAGGCGGUUUCGUAAGUCGGAUGUGAAAACUCAGGGCUCAACCCGGAGACGCCAUCUGAUACUGCGAUGACUUGAGUCUGGUAGGGGAACACGGAAUUCCUGGUGUAGCGGUGAAAUGCGCAGAUAUCAGGAGGAACACCGAUGGCGAAGGCAGUGUUCUGGGCCAGUACUGACGCUGAGGAGCGAAAGCGUGGGGAGCAAACAGG